rnacentral:lncRNA from 1 species
AACUCAUGUGCAAACUAACUCAUUCCUUCCUUAGUGCAUGUACUACUUUUGUGCGGGACCUUGAAGGAAAAUUCAAACGUAAGGAGGUGAUCAACCCCAAAAGACGAAGGAUUCCACGGAUGAAGAAGAAAGUAUUGAUAGUGAGGCCAUUGUGUUGAGAAGUUUCCAAGGAGAAGGAUGCGAGAUUUGGGACAAUCAGUUGUGGACUUUGAGGAUGAAUAGCAAGUAGCUGCCAAGGAGAUUGAAAGAACUAAGAUGCAGAUGUUGAGGAUCUUGAACCGUGUGUAGGGCUUGAAG